UAUAUCUUUCGUAACAGAUUUUCUAGAAACUGUGUUUUCAAAUAGUAUAUCCUGUUGAAAACUUCCAGGUGGGUUCCCAUGGAAACUUGUGAAGAUUCAUAUAGGCUAUUCAAAAUCCAUAUGAAAAUCCUUGUGGUGAAUAAAAAUCCAUCUCGAAAUAUACAUGGUGUAUAAAAAUCAAUACGGAGAUCUAUAUGGUGUAUAAAGAUGUAUAAAUAUUAUU